rnacentral:ribozyme from 1 species
UGCCCAGCAACUCCUAUCCCUACCGCUACUCGCGGUACUGGCCGGGGUACGAGUAACCUCAGGGAAGAUUGGGUAACCAACCCUGGUGGGAACUGGUGGUCGUAUGCAGACAGGGAAGG